rnacentral:lncRNA from 1 species
GUAAAACGCGGAAUAGAGGGUAAAACGCGGAAUAGAGGGUAAAACGCGGAAAAGAGGGUAAAACGCGGAAAAAAGGGUAAAACGCGGAAAAGAGGGUAAAACGCGGAAAACAAACUUUGAAACCAAACUAUACUUAAAACUUCGUUUAAGAUAGUUUGUUUUAGGUUUUGGAGUGCUAAAUCAGUAUCAUUACUUCGAAGAUUAUAUUCUCUAUUAAGAUGUUUAAUUUUUAUAAAUUUUUCUCUAAGACUUGGAGCGGACUGCUCAUUAAGAAUUUUAUACAUCAAAACGCUGUUCACCCAAUGACGUCUUACAUCAUAUGCCCACCGACUAAUAAUCAUACACCUACUAUGUAAAGGCCGGUUUACACCAUCAAAGUUACUGUGAUCAAAGUGGCGUCAUCUCGCCCAAGCAAACCUGUGACUUAAAUACUUGUGGGUAGUAGCGGCCGUAUUUGUUUCGCGAGAAAAAAGAUUCACUUCGCCAUUACUGGAUAAGUAUAGCGGGUCAGUUAUAAUUCUCUCAAGUCUGUUAUUUAAUUUAAGAAAUGCCGACUUGACGCCAACGGAACCUGAUAAUUUGAGAAAAACACUUGCGGUUUGACAAAGAAUACCACCUACGCAGUAAUUGGCUAAUCGCUUUCAGUGCGAAUAUCUUGCCAUAGGCUUAGUCGCUUUAUAGAGAUAGUCUAUUCUGUAUUAUCCAUACAAGCGUCGAGUCUGCAAAAAUUUUCAUGAUACAUAUACUUAAAACAUAACAUUUUGACACUAAAUACACAACGAUUACCGCGCUGUCAGUGCAAGUUUUCUUUGCAUAUACACUGUAAAUUUCAAGGAGUUGAAUCAACUCCGCCGAGUGUUAUAUUGUAUCACUAAAAACGAUGACAGAAUAGCUAUUUUAGAGUUGUUUCAACUCCUUGAAAUUUACAGUUUAGACAACAUGUUUCACAAAUCUAAGGAACUGUGUACACCAUUUCAACGACCGAAUUAAUCAAAUUGUCAGAUAUUUAAUUUAAAUAACCCUGAGACUGCAAUCACGGCUUCAAUUUUUGAAUUGCAGAAUAAUUAGGUGCACUAUCUAGUGUAUAUAGGAUAUCUAUGAUAAGAUGUCUAAAUUUUACCAGUUUUAUAAUGCAAAGUCAAAACAUUUUCAAUUGCACUGAGGUUUGGAUUGGUAUAAAACUUACUAAUGGACUUUAUAUUUCAGAAUAUAGCUUUUAUAGAAUAUAUUUUUGCGGAAAAUGUUAGCGUUAAAUUUUUCCGGAAAAUGUUACAUUAUGGGUAAUUACAUAAUGGGCGGGGAGAGAGGGGGUUUACAUACACUAGUUUUACAUAAUGGGGGCUUAAAUGUAGUUAUUCAUACCAUUUUUUAUGGGUGGUGUUAUUAUUUGGGGGUCGGUUACACCCCCCAUACACCCCAGUAGUUAUGUAGGUUAAUUGAGUGUAAUAUUUGAGUUAUCAGGGUUGUUAAUAAUAUCAGAAUAUCGUAAACGUAUGAGUAUUUUAUGACAUAACACACGCCCUUCGUGGAAAUCAUAGUUGAAGGGACUACCGGACUAGUGUGUAUAAUUUUUAAAUAAAUACAGUUUUACCAAGCUACAUACCUACCGCGCAAAAAGAAAACAAUUCUAAAACUUUUUUUCCGCGUUUUACCCUCUUUUCCUUCAAGUAUCAGUUAAACUAGUCCUUUCGUUAACUGUGACUGUCAAAAGUAUAGUGAUAAAUGAAAUAACAUUACCCUGUCAGUUAUAUGACACCAUAACUUGUGUUUAAUUAAGUCGAGUCAGCGUGUUCCCAAACGACUCGUAAGAGUUAUUUGAAAGCAAAUUUUUCAUGAUAUUUACCAUUUUACCUUUCAAAACAUAACAUUUUGUCACUAAAUACGUCACUUUUUGCGCGUGUAAACAUACAAUUUUUUAACGGCUUUUCAAAGAAGAUUUGCGCGCUGCGGGCAAGUUUUCU